UUGCUCCACAAUAUCUGCAAGCAGCGAAAUCUUCCACUGCCUGAUGAUGAGGUGAAGGAAAUAGCUCAUCCUCAUGCAGAUGGAGAAGUGGAGCCAAAUCCACCCAGACCUGCUGCCCGUAAAGGGCCCCAUACACACUCAGGUGGCCGGAGAGUUUGCCUGAAUAAAACAGGACUGUUCAAGCCAAACUGAGCGUGUAUGAGGCGUUCAAGCGGCCUGCGCAGGCGGCCUCACGAACCUGUAGCUGACAGGUUGGCUCCGUCUGGCCAGCGUCCGUCCGGUUCAGGCCUUUUUGAGAGUGUAUGGGCACAUGAGGCGGUCUUGAGGCCACAUUUCUCAGUACAGAUCUCCUCAACCUAAUGUCAACAUGUGUGCCGCACUGACCACCAGCUGCACCACAGAAGAGCGUCAGUUUUGGGCAGAAUUUAUUGAAAUGUACAAGGAAAAUCCGUGCCUUUGGAAAAUCAGGUUUAAAGAGUAUUCAGAUAAAGUAAUAAAGAAUGCAGCGUAUGACUUGCUUGUUGCAAAAUUAAAAGAGAAGGACGGUGGAGCUACCCGAGUUAGUCACCAAGAAAAUCAACAACAUAAGGAGCUCUUUCAGGAAAAAGUGCAAGAAAGUUUUGUCGUCCAUGAAGUCAGGAAGUGUCCGCAUAUCAGUAUAUAAUAUAUAAAUUUCUCCGAGGCCUACUUUCAUGAAGCUGUUUAUACAGGCACUAAAAGUCUUUUAAUCCUACAUAUCAGUUUAUUUUCAAAUCUUUUUCUUAUAAUUUGUGCUUAUACCAUAAUAUUAGAUCUUAUAUGGGGUUUACUUGCAGAAAAUAAUAUCAUGUUUUACAGGUGCUGGUACUGAUGAUGUUUACACACCUAAUUUAUGGUACUACGAUCUGCUCCUGUUCCUGAAAAAAAUAAAAAAAAAAAAAUUCCGAGGACAUCUGUUUCAAGUAUGGAAGAGGAAAGCUAAGCUGUCUUCCACCACGAGAAGAUCCUCGGCGGGCAUGGUGCUUUAUCCUGCUGGGACAAGCACAUGCUGACCACUCUUUGUUAAGAGGCCUGGGCAGUGUGGAGAAAUGAAGUUCCUUCCUCCCAGCCACUGCACCUGGAAACACUUCAGAUGGUCCUUUAUAUUUUAAGGAUAUCUAAAGUUUGUUUCUUUGCUUUCCUUUAUUAUUAAUUGUAGUCACACCAUCAGGUCUUCAUUAGCUCUCAGGUGAUCUGUUUUACUGAUCACAUCCAUCAUCGUAGGAUCGAGAAAAGGCAGUUCUCUCUCUGACAUUUAUUGAUGAGGUAGGCAUGACGGUAAGAACUGCGAACAAGUUCUUGGUCUCAGUUUCUUACAAAAUAACAUUAUACACUGAUAUUAAACACUUUCAACAUAUUACAGUAUUCAUUAACAAUACAUGCAAUCAACUU